UCGUGCUAAGCGGGGAGCUAGCGGUGCCUUGAAUCCCGUAAGGGAUGACCCGAAAUCCGCUUAUGCGGGGUCGAAUACUCCAUUUUGAGUCUGGAUUUUCAGGGGCAACAGGAAGUGUUGAAGGGUGAUGAGGAUUGGGUCUUAUGAUGGUACCGUCUACAAACCCCGUUAGGUCUGGAAAGAAGCAGCGGUAAGUAGGAAAGGGCUGGUCAUGAGGGAGCCUAAUCUGAGCUCUUCGCCUUACUGUUCCUGGAAGGACUGGCAAAGGGAGUUGCACGA
rnacentral:SRP_RNA from 1 species